UGCAGGCUGAAACUCGCCUACAUGAAGCUGGAGUUGCUAGUAAUCGCGAAUCAGCAUGUCGCGGUGAAUACGUUCCCGGGCCUUGUACACACCGCCCGUCACACCAUGAGAGUUGGCAAUACCCAACGUACGUGAUCUAACCCGCAAGGGAGGAAGCGUCCUAAGGUAGGGUCAGCGACUGGGGUGAAGUCGUAACAAGGUACC
rnacentral:rRNA from 1 species